rnacentral:rRNA from 1 species
GUGGGGAAUCUUGCGCAAUGGGCGAAAGCCUGACGCAGCCAUGCCGCGUGAAUGAUGAAGGUCUUAGGAUUGUAAAAUUCUUUCACCGGGGACGAUAAUGACGGUACCCGGAGAAGAAGCCCCGGCUAACUUCGUGCCAGCAGCCGCGGUAAUACGAAGGGGGCUAGCGUUGCUCGGAAUUACUGGGCGUAAAGGGCGCGUAGGCGGAUCGUUAAGUCAGGGGUGAAAUCCCAGAGCUCAACUCUGGAACUGCCCUUGAUACUGGCGAUCUUGAGUGUGAGAGAGGUAUGUGGAACUCCGAGUGUAGAGGUGAAAUUCGUAGAUAUUCGGAAGAACACCAGUGGCGAAGGCGACAUACUGGCUCAUUACUGGCGCUGAGGCGCGAAAGCGUGGGGAGCAAACAGGAUUAGAUACCCGUGUAGUCC